GCUUGUCUCAAAGAUUAAGCCAUGCAUGUCUAAGUGUAAAUAAGUCUAUACUGUGAAACUGCGAAUGGCUCAUUAAAUCAGUUAUCGUUUAUUUGAUGAUCUCUUACUACUUGGAUAACCGUAGUAAUUCUAGAGCUAAUACAUGCGAAAAAUCUCGACUCACGGAGAGAUGCUUUUAUUAGAUCAAAACCAAACGGCUUCGGCCGUCUCAUUGGUGACUCUGAAUAACUUUGGGCUGAUCGUAUGGCCUUGUGCCGACGACGUUUCCUUCGAAGGUGUGCCCUAUCAACUGUCGACUGUGAUAUAGACGCUCACAGUGGUUUUGACGGGUAACGGGGAAUCAGGGUUCGAUUCCGGAGAGGGAGCCUUAAAAACGGCUACCACAUCCAAGGAAGGCAGCAGG
rnacentral:rRNA from 1 species